CCCAGCUCAUCAUGCUAGAGCACUUUUUCAAUGGGCUCCCCAACGACAAGGUUACGACGCAUUCAUAUGUCAUCCAUAUCAACUUUCGAUGCCAAUUACUUCGCCUACCAUGGUGACCACGGGUAACGGGGAAUCAGGGUUCGAUUCCUAAGAGGGAGCCUGAGAAACGGCUACCACAUUCAAGGAAGGCAGCAGGAGCGCAAAUGACCCACUCCCGACGCAGGAAGGUAGUGACG
rnacentral:rRNA from 1 species